GGCAGAUGAUGUCCUUAUCUCACGAUGGUCUACAGAUGUCCCUGUGGGAAUGUCAACAGCAAAAAGAAAAUUAAUAAGAACCCUACACUUAACUUCAUCCCCUCACUUUUUGCCAUUUU
rnacentral:snoRNA from 1 species